GACGAACGCUGGCGGCGUGCUUAACACAUGCAAGUCGAACGGUAAGGCCCUUCGGGGUACACGAGUGGCGAACGGGUGAGUAACACGUGGGUGAUCUGCCCUGCACUUCGGGAUAAGCCUGGGAAACUGGGUCUAAUACCGGAUAGGACUCCUGGCUUCAUGGUUGGGGGUGGAAAGCUUUUGCGGUGUGGGAUGGGCCCGCGGCCUAUCAGGUUGUUGGUGGGGUAAUGGCCUACCAAGGCGACGACGGGUAGCCGGUCUGAGAGGGUGAGCGGGCGCCCUGGGACUGAGAUACGGCACAGACUCCUACGGGAGGCAGCCGGGGGGAAUAUUGCACAAUGGGCGCAAGCCUGAUGCAGCGACGCCGCGUGAGGGAUGACGGCCUUCGGGUUGUAAACCUCUUUCAGCUAUGACGAAGCGCAAGUGACGGUAGUAGCAGAAGAAGGACCGGCCAACUACGUGCCAGCCGCCGCCGUAA
rnacentral:rRNA from 1 species